rnacentral:rRNA from 1 species
ACGGCAGCGCGGGAGCAAUCCUGGCGGCGAGUGGCGAACGGGUGAGUAAUACAUCGGAACGUGCCCGAUCGUGGGGGAUAACGCAGCGAAAGCUGUGCUAAUACCGCAUACGAUCUACGGAUGAAAGCAGGGGAUCGCAAGACCUUGCGCGAAUGGAGCGGCCGAUGGCAGAUUAGGUAGUUGGUGAGGUAAAGGCUCACCAAGCCUUCGAUCUGUAGCUGGUCUGAGAGGACGACCAGCCACACUGGGACUGAGACACGGCCCAGACUCCUACGGGAGGCAGCAGUGGGGAAUUUUGGACAAUGGGCGCAAGCCUGAUCCAGCCAUGCCGCGUGCAGGAUGAAGGCCUUCGGGUUGUAAACUGCUUUUGUACGGAACGAAAAGUCUCUUUCUAAUAAAGAGGGAUCAUGACGGUACCGUAAGAAUAAGCACCGGCUAACUACGUGCCAGCAGCCGCGGUAAUACGUAGGGUGCAAGCGUUAAUCGGAAUUACUGGGCGUAAAGCGUGCGCAGGCGGUUAUGUAAGACAGUUGUGAAAUCCCCGGGCUCAACCUGGGAACUGCAUCUGUGACUGCAUAGCUAGAGUACGGUAGAGGGGGAUGGAAUUCCGCGUGUAGCAGUGAAAUGCGUAGAUAUGCGGAGGAACACCGAUGGCGAAGGCAAUCCCCUGGACCUGUACUGACGCUCAUGCACGAAAGCGUGGGGAGCAAACAGGAUUAGAUACCCUGGUAGUCCACGCCCUAAACGAUGUCAACUGGUUGUUGGGUCUUCACUGACUCAGUGACGAAGCUAACGCGUGAAGUUGACCGCCUGGGGAGUACGGCCGCAAGGUUGAAAC